GGCGUGGAUUAGGCAUGCAAGUCGAGCGAGAAGUCUUAGUUUGACGUUUCGGCUGAUUACUAAGAUGGAAAGCGGCGAAAGGGUGAGUAACGCGUAGUUACGUACCCCGGGGUCCGGAAUAGCUGCGGGAAACUGCAGGUAAUGCCGGAUAAUGUUUUCGAACCAAAGGUGAGAUUCCGCCCUGGGAGCGGACUGCGUCCUACUAGCUUGUUGGUGGGGUAACGGCCUACCAGGGCAAUGAUGGGUAGCGGGCGUGAGAGCGUGGCCCGCCACACUGGGACUGAGACACUGCCCAGACACCUACGGGUGGCUGCAGUCGAGAAUCUUCGGCAACGCGCGAAAGCGUGACCGAGCGACGCCGCGUGCGGGAUGAAGGCCUUCGGGUUGUAAACCGCGGUCGGAGGGGAGGAAAUCUGAGGGGGCUAUCCCCCUCAGUUGACCUAUCCUCGACGAAGGACGGGCUAAGUUCGUGCCAGCAGCCGCGGUAAUACGAACCGUCCAAACGUUAUUCGGAAUCAUUGGGCUUAAAGGGUGCGUAGGCGGUGCAGUCAGUCGGGUGUGAAAUCCCUCGGCUUAACCGAGGAACUGCGCCCGAUACUGCUGUGCUUGAGGGAGACAGAGGUGAGCGGAACUGAUGGUGGAGCGGUGAAAUGCGUUGAUAUCAUCAGGAACACCAGUGGCGAAAGCGGCUCGCUGGGUCUCUUCUGACGCUGUGACACGAAAGCUAGGGGAGCGAGCGGGAUUAGAUACCCCGGUAGUCCUAGCUGUAAACGAUGAGCACUUGACUGAGGGUCCCCCCAUAGACUCUUGGUCGUAGCGAAAGUGUUAAGUGCUCCGCCUGGGGAGUAUGGUCGCAAGGCAA
rnacentral:rRNA from 1 species